GACGAACGCUGGCGGCGUGCUUAACACAUGCAAGUCGAACGGAAAGGCCCUGCUUUUGUGGGGUGCUCGAGUGGCGAACGGGUGAGUAACACGUGAGUAACCUGCCCUUGACUUUGGGAUAACUUCAGGAAACUGGGGCUAAUACCGGAUAGGAGCUCCUGCUGCAUGGUGGGGGUUGGAAAGUUUCGGCGGUUGGGGAUGGACUCGCGGCUUAUCAGCUUGUUGGUGGGGUAGUGGCUUACCAAGGCUUUGACGGGUAGCCGGCCUGAGAGGGUGACCGGCCACAUUGGGACUGAGAUACGGCCCGGACUCCUACGGGAGGCAGCAGUGGGGAAUAUUGCACAAUGGGCGGAAGCCUGAUGCAGCAACGCCGCGUGCGGGAUGACGGCCUUCGGGUUGUAAACCGCUUUCGCCCGUGACGAAGCGUGAGUGACGGUAAUGGGUAAAGAAGCACCGGCUAACUACGUGCCAGCAGCCGCGGUGAUACGUAGGGUGCGAGCGUUGUCCGGAUUUAUUGGGCGUAAAGGGCUCGUAGGUGGUUGAUCGCGUCGGAAGUGUAAUCUUGGGGCUUAACCCUGAGCGUGCUUUCGAUACGGGUUGACUUGAGGAAGGUAGGGGUGAAUGGAAUUCCUGGUGGAGCGGUGGAAUGCGCAGAUAUCAGGAGGAACACCAGUGGCGAAGGCGGUUCUCUGGGCCUUUCCUGACGCUGAGGAGCGAAAGCGUGGGGAGCGAACAGGCUUAGAUACCCUGGUAGUCCACGCUGUAAACGGUGGGUACUAGGUGUGGGGUCCAUUCCACGGGUUCCGUGCCGUAGCUAACGCUUUAAGUACCCCGCCUGGGGAGUACGGCCGCAAGGCUAAAACUCAAAGGAAUUGACGGGGCCCCGCACAAGCGGCGGAGCAUGCGGAUUAAUUCGAUGCAACGCGUAGAACCUUACCUGGGUUUGACAUGGAUCGGGAGCGCUCAGAGAUGGGUGUGCCUCUUUUGGGGUCGGUUCACAGGUGGUGCAUGGCUGUCGUCAGCUCGUGUCGUGAGAUGUUGGGUUAAGUCCCGCAACGAGCGCAACCCUUGUUCACUGUUGCCAGCACGUUAUGGUGGGGACUCAGUGGAGACCGCCGGGGUCAACUCGGAGGAAGGUGGGGAUGACGUCAAGUCAUCAUGCCCCUUAUGUCCAGGGCUUCACGCAUGCUACAAUGGCUGGUACAGAGAGUGGCGAGCCUGUGAGGGUGAGCGAAUCUCGGAAAGCCGGUCUCAGUUCGGAUUGGGGUCUGCAACUCGACCUCAUGAAGUCGGAGUCGCUAGUAAUCGCAGAUCAGCAACGCUGCGGUGAAUACGUUCCCGGGGCU
rnacentral:rRNA from 1 species